rnacentral:rRNA from 1 species
UACGUAGGGUGCGAGCGUUAAUCGGAUUUACUGGGCGUAAAGCGUGCGCAGGCGGCCCGUUAAGACAGAUGUGAAAUCCCUGGGCUCAACCUAGGAAUUGCGCUUGUGACUGGCGGGCUAGAGUACGGUAGAGGGGGGUGGAAUUCCUGGUGUAGCAGUGAAAUGCGUAGAGAUCAGGAGGAACACCGAUGGCGAAGGCAGCCCCCUGGGCCUGUACUGACGCUGAUGCACGAAAGCGUGGGGAGCAAACAGG